rnacentral:rRNA from 1 species
AUACAGGGGGAGCGAGCGUUAAUGGGAAUUACUGGGCGUAAAGAGUACGUAGGCGGUUGCUUAAGUCAGAUGUGAAAGCCCCGGGCUCAACCUGGGAACUGCAUCUGAAACUGAGUGACUAGAGUUUAAGAGAGGGGAGUAGAAUUCCGGGUGUAGCGGUGAAAUGCGUAGAGAUCCGGAGGAAUACCAGUGGCGAAGGCGGCUCCCUGGCUUAAAACUGACGCUGAGGUACGAAAGCGUGGGUAGCAAACAGGAUUAGAAACCCCAGUAGUCC